AUAUGACAUUAAAAUUUUAGAUAAAAAAUAUUGAUCUUGUUUUAUAUAGUAUAAAGAAUUUUCUAUCAAAAUUUUACAUGAUUUGAAUAUUCCUAUACCGUUAAACUUGUAAAUAGCUCAUCACGGCCAUUAAAAUUAUUGAUUUGAGCUCCUUCGAUUACUGGGCAAAUGAUAUCAAAAAAUUACAAAAUUUAUUUUUUAAAUACUUCAAAUACUCUAGAUUAAGUUUAACGGAGCCGAUCGUCAAUUUGAAAAUCCCGAAAACGACUUGGAAGCACGGAAGGCUUCAUACUUUCAGAAGCAUAUAUAUAUAUAUAUAUAUAUAUAUAUAUAUAUAGAGUCCGACUGCCAUGCUAUUGAUAGCACUAAGCACUUGGUGCUAUCAAGUUUUCUGCCGUUAAAUUAACCCCUUUGAUUAUUUUUAUCCGUUAGAUUAUACUAUUAAACCAACCACCCACUCAACCCUAAGGGGCCCACAUCAUCCUAACCGCACAUCUUUUAAUCUAAGGGCUAAUAUACUAUUAAUAUAUAGCACCAAGUCAUUGGUACUACUAAGUUUUUGGCCAUUGGAUUAAGAGAUGUGCGGUUAGGAUAAUGUGGGUCCCCUAGGGUUGAGUUGGUGGUUGGUUGAAUAAUAUAAUCUAACGGAUGAAAAUGAUUAAAAGGGUAGAUCUAAUGGCGGAAAACUUGGUAGCACUAAAUGCUUCGUGCUAUUAAUAGCAUAGUAGUCAAAUAUAUAUCUAUAGAGUCCGGCUACUAUGCUAUCGGUAGCACGGAGCGCUCCGUGCUACCAAGUUGUUUUUGAUGAUGCGGCUUCCAAAUCGACGAUCGGCUCCGUUAGACUUGAUCUACACUAUUGAAAGUAUUUGAAAACUAAAUUUCAGAUUUUUUCGACAUCAUUUGACUAGUGAUCAAAAGAUCUCAAAAUUAACAAUUUUAAUGGCCGAUGUGGUGUGUUUGUGAGUUUAACGGUGUAAAACAAUCCAAAUGCGAUAAAAAUUUUAUAGAAAAUUCUUUUCACUAUUUAGAGUAAGAUCAGUAUAUCUGAUCUUGAAUUUAAAUCCUUUAUUAUCAUUUCUCAUGAGAUUUUUAUUUUCAACCGUUCAAUUU
rnacentral:lncRNA from 1 species